rnacentral:rRNA from 1 species
UUUAUGGAGAGUUUGAUCCUGGCUCAGGACGAACGCUGGCGGCGUGCCUAAUACAUGCAAGUCGAGCGGAUCGAUGGGAGCUUGCUCCCUGAGAUCAGCGGCGGACGGGUGAGUAACACGUGGGUAACCUGCCUGUAAGACUGGGAUAACUCCGGGAAACCGGGGCUAAUACCGGAUAACACCUACCCCCGCAUGGGGGAAGGUUGAAAGGUGGCUUCGGCUAUCACUUACAGAUGGACCCGCGGCGCAUUAGCUAGUUGGUGAGGUAA